AACGAACGCUGGCGGCAGGCCUAACACAUGCAAGUCGAGCGAGGACUUCGGUCCUAGCGGCGGACGGGUGAGUAACGCGUGGGAACGUGCCCCUUGGUACGGAAUAGCCCCGGGAACCUGGGAGUAAUACCGUAUGAGCUCUACGGAGGAAAGAUUUAUCGCCAAGGGAUCGGCCCGCGUUGGAUUAGGUAGUUGGUGGGGUAAUGGCCUACCAAGCCGACGAUCCAUAGCUGGUUUGAGAGGAUGAUCAGCCACACUGGGACUGAGACACGGCCCAGACUCCUACGGGAGGCAGCAGUGGGGAAUCUUAGACAAUGGGCGCAAGCCUGAUCUAGCCAUGCCGCGUGAGCGAUGAAGGCCUUAGGGUUGUAAAGCUCUUUCAGCUGGGAAGAUAAUGACUGUACCAGCAGAAGAAGCCCCGGCUAACUCCGUGCCAGCCGCCGCCGUAA
rnacentral:rRNA from 1 species